AUGUGGAAUGAAGAUUCCUAUUACCGCCCCAGUCUGACACUUUGUGACUGAGUGGUAGUUCUCUGACCACAU